AACGAACGCUGGCGGCGUGGAUAAGACAUGCAAGUCGAACGGGACAGGUAGCAAUAUCUGUCUAGUGGCGAACGGGUGCGUAACACGUGGGCAACAUGCCUGGAAGAGCGGGAUAGCCCGGGGAAACUCGGAUUAAUACCGCAUGUGACAACGGGGCGGCUUCGCCCUGUUUUCAAAGGUGGGGACCGCAAGGCCUGCCGCUUCCAGAUUGGCCCGCGGCCUAUCAGCUAGUUGGCGAGGUAAAAGCUCACCAAGGCGACGACGGGUAGCUGGUCUGAGAGGACGACCAGCCACACUGGAACUGAGACACGGUCCAGACACCUACGGGUGGCAGCAGUCGAGAAUCUUUCACAAUGGGGGAAACCCUGAUGGAGCGACGCCGCGUGGAGGAUGAAGGUCUUCGGAUUGUAAACUCCUGUCAUGAAAGAACAAGCGAUGCGGGUAAACAGCCCGCAAAGUUGAUAGUAUUUCAAGAGGAAGGGACGGCUAACUUCGUGCCAGCCGCCGCGGUAAGAC
rnacentral:rRNA from 1 species